rnacentral:lncRNA from 1 species
AUGCUUUAUACAUUUCAACUUAUGCUGAAGAUGGUUCCUGUAAGAGACUUGGAUCACUUUGCUGCUGAGAGGGGAGGCUGCUCUGCUCUACACAUCCUAUCAGUCAGAGAACUUGGAACAGGAAAAACAAUUUGGAUCCAAGUUUACCUCUUCCACCAAGCUUUGAAAUAUUCAAGGGCUCCCUGCCCAGGGAAAAGGGACAGAGAGAGAGAGAGAAGGUUGCCCUGUCUGCAUGCCAUGAUGCCCCUCACUCUGUGGCCAAGCAGAGGAAGGAAGAGACGUCUAGCAAGAAGUUGCUGCAGUCAAGGUCAAAGAGGUUGCUGCUUGUGUUGUUCUUAAGGAUUUUGAUGGUCUCCUGUCUCAAAUUGAGGUCUUUCAUCGACUUUGAAUUUAUUUUUUUGUCUGGUGUGAGAAGGUGGUCCAGUUGCAUUCUUCUGCAUGUUGCCAUCCAAUUUUCCCAACACCAUUUGUUGAAGAGAAUUUUUCCAUUGGACAUUCUUUCCUUUGUUGAAGAUGAGUUGACCAUAUAGUUGUGGGUCCAUUUCUGGAUUCUCUAUUCUGCUCCAAUGAUCUAUGUGUCUGUUUUUGUGCCAGAACCAUACUGUUUUGAUGAUUACAGCUUUGUAAUAGAGCUUGAAGUCUGGGAUUGUGAUGCCACCAGCUUUGCUUUUCUUUUUCAGCAUUCCUCUGGCUAUUUGGAGCCUUCCAUGGUUCCACACUAAUUUUAGGUUUUGUUGUUCUAGUUCUGUGAAAAAUGUUGAUGCUAUUUUGAUCAGGUUUGUUUUAAUUCUAGACCUGAGCUCCCAAGUAAUAUAUCGUAAAAAUAUGUCUUAUUCCCCAGAAAAUACCUUGAAAAUCAUAAAAUAAAAAUAGGGAUUAUGGCUUCUGCUUCUAUCUCCUCCAUAUGGCUAAAAUCAAACACAAAAUGCCAAGAUGUACUAAAUUAUAUAACACAUAUUAAGUUAAAAUUUUAAAGUCCUGGGGGGCCUGGCUGGCUUGGUCAGUAGUAUGCGCCACUCUUGAUCUUGGGGUUGGAAGUUUGUGCCCCAUGUUGGGUAUAGAGACUACCUAAAAAUAAAAUCUUUAAAAAAUAAAUAAAAUAAAAAUUUAAAGUAUCUACAAAAUUAAACUGGAUAAUGCAUUAAUCACUUUCAAGCAAUUCAAUGAUAAAGACACUAAUAACUCCUUCAAAAUGAAAUGUCUUCUGUAUCUUUGAAGUUUUGCUACUCUUGUUAAAAUAUCCCAAGCAAAGAUUCUCUAGAUUUUAGAAAGAGAUCAUAUAUUAAAUGGCUUAAAAUCAUUUUGCUCCAUCCAUCCAUGGUUAACAGUAUGAGAUAAAAAAUUAAAAACCUAUCAAAGAUACAUUUUGAUUAAUGAACCAAGAGCAAGCUUCUCGAGAACUAUCAUUCAUGGUAUAACCGCCACCACCACAUCCAUUGUUUUGUUCAGCUAAUAGUACAGAGUGCGCCUCAACUGAUGAAUGAGGUUUUAUUUUUUAAUCAGUAUCAUCAUUAAUAGAUCAAUAACACACAAGCUUAGAAGAAUCUGCUUCCCAGAGAAAUGUGAAAGCUUCCAGUGGUUUGAGGAUUAGAUUUCAAUCACUUUCUCUGGAAGGCUAUUUAAUUAUUAAAAACAACAAUUUCUUCCCUCACUCCCCUCCCCAUCCCACAAUAUAAGUCAUAUGGAGGCACAAAAUGACCCAUGACCCAGGAUUAUCUUGUUCUUGCUACAAACACCUACUUUGACUACUCCGAUCAUUUCACUUGAGAAUAAAGAAGUGAAUUAUUUUUCACACUCCAGUGUAUUUGUGUGUGUGUGUUUCUUUUUUUAAUUAUUUUUUUUAUAAACAUAUAAUGUAUUUUUAUCCCCAGGGGUACAGGUCUGUGAAUUGCCAGGUUUACACACUUCACAGCACUCACCAUAGCACAUACCCUCCCCAAUGUCCAUAACCCCACCCCCCCUCUCCCAAACCCCCUCCCCCCAGCAACCCUCAGUUUGUUUUGUGAGAUUAAGAGUCACUUAUGGUUUGUAUCCCUCCCAAUCCCAUCUUGUUUCAUUUAUUCUUCUCCUACCCCCUUAAACACCCAUGUUACAUCUCCCCAGUGUAUUUUACCACCACAGACUAAAAGGGAAAACCAAAAUACCAUGUUGUGGCAAUCUGAGAUAAAAAAACAAAACAAAAAAAAACCCCAACUAGAUGAAAUAUUUAAUAUGUGCCCAGCUCCAUCUGGACAGAGGCAGUGGGAAUAGGGUCCCUAAAGAAUGACUGAUAAGGACUCUGACAUUACUUUUCAGCCUUUUUUUCUUCCUUAAGAAUGCAUUGCUUUUCUAAAAAAACAUAACAAUUCACAAUCAGCUUCUCUUUCGAAAGGGUGUUUGUGCUCCUACUCAAAGACAGACAAUGGAUUCAAAGAGGAUAAGCCAUUUAGUUCCUUUGUGGGAAACCGCACACCCAGGUCUAGAAACAACCUAACAUGGAACUCAGCUUCUGGUGUCAGAUUGUCUGUGUUUGGCGAAAACUGCACUGAUAUGUACACCCCCUUUAAC